GUGUUUGAUUAAAGGAGAGUUGGUUGGCAUCUCCUCUUACAGGGUUGGGAACAGUCUACAGGCUUCCUUGUUUAACAUAUACGGAUAAGGGGUUUAUGUCAAAUACCAGUUUGUAGAUAAAAAUAUGAUAUCAUGCAUGGUAUUUU